rnacentral:rRNA from 1 species
UACGUAGGGUGCAAGCGUUAAUCGGAAUUACUGGGCGUAAAGCGUGCGCAGGCGGUUUUGUAAGUCUGACGUGAAAUCCCCGGGCUCAACCUGGGAAUUGCGUUGGAGACUGCAAGGCUGGAGUCUGGCAGAGGGGGGGUAGAAUUCCACGUGUAGCAGUGAAAUGCGUAGAGAUGUGGAGGAACACCGAUGGCGAAGGCAGUCCCCUGGGCCUGCACUGACGCUCAUGCACGAAAGGCGUGGGGGAGCAAACAGG